rnacentral:rRNA from 1 species
UAACGCUCGUACCAAUACAGAGAGUGGCAGACGGGUGAGUAACGCGUGGGAACAUACCCUCCGGUUCGGAAUAGCUCAGGGAAACUUGGAUUAAUACCGGAUACGGCUGAGAGGCGAAAGAUUUAUCGCCGGAGGAUUGGCCCGCGUUCGAUUAGCUAGUUGGUGAGGUAAUGGCUCACCAAGGCGAUGAUCGAUAGCUGGUCUGAGAGGAUGAUCAGCCACAUUGGGACUGAGACACGGCCCAAACUCCUACGGGAGGCAGCAGUGGGGAAUAUUGGACAAUGGGCGCAAGCCUGAUCCAGCCAUGCCGCGUGAGUGAUGACGGCCUUAGGGUUGUAAAGCUCUUUCGCUCGGGACGAUAAUGACGGUACCGAGAUAAGAAGCCCCGGCUAACUUCGUGCCAGCAGCCGCGGUAAU